rfam:Tauraco erythrolophus contig13734, whole genome shotgun sequence.
CCAACGGCUCUUUUAAGAGCCACCCACACCUUCCCUAAAGGAGCUG